rnacentral:rRNA from 1 species
GAUGAACGCUAGCGGCAGGCCUAACACAUGCAAGUCGAGGGGUAGAAGGAGCUUUCUCCUUUUAGACCGGCGCACGGGUGCGUAACGCGUAUGCAAUCUACCUUGUACAGGGGAAUAGCCCAGAGAAAUUUGGAUUAAUUCCCCAUAGUAUAUAACCUUCGCAUGUUGGUUAUAUUAAAGUUCCGACGGUACAGGUUGAGCAUGCUUCACAUUAGUUAGUUGGUAAGGUAACGGCUUACCAAGACGAUGAUGGGUAGGGGUCCUGAGAGGGAGAUCCCCCACAAUGGUAAUGAGACACGGACCAGAAUGCGACGGGAGGCAGCAGUGAGGAAUAUUGGGCAAUGGUGGCUAGACUGAACCAGCCAUGCCGCGUGCAGGAAGCCGGUCCUAUGGAUUGUAAACUGCUUUUAUACAGGAAGAAACACUCACACGUGUGGGAGCUUGACGGUACUGGAGGAAUAAGGACCGGCUAACUCCGUG